AGCCUGCAAAUGAGGAGGUGGUGCUGUCCUCCUCCCCAGAUCCCACCCCAUCAGCCCUCCUCCCAAGGGGAACAGCCAUCAAGCCUGCCAGCCACACUCACCCCUUCCUCCCAGGGGUGAAGCCCCCAGGGAGCAGGGUGGCAGAGGCUCCCAGCCUCCCAUUCCAGUCUGCAGGAUCCCCCCUCCCAGCACCGGCAGCCUGCCCAGCCCUGAGGCAUCCGGUCCAGCUCCUGCACCACCUCAUUCCCUGCCAGCAACAGAAGGCAGGUCUGGGAGGCAGUGAAGAGGACUGCAGCGCAUGCAGUGGCGGCCCUGUCCAGCCCCUGCCUGCCGGGCUGCAGAAACCCCAGGGACCCCGGGACACACUUGUGGUGCGAUGUUCCUGUGUGUUUCCUGACAGGACAGCUCCCUUCUCCCAGUGAGAGGCAUCCAGGAGGGAGACAGCAAGCAUGAGCGGGACAGCUUCAGCUGUGGUCUUUUAGGAGCCAACCCACGAAGUGCUGCACCAUCGCUUCUGCUGCAUGCUACCGGCCACACAGACCGACAUGGCGCAGCGUGGCGGGGACUACAUGGGAUGUGAUCAGCAGUAGUGGAGGACCCAACCUGGGGGCAGAUGGGAGGCUGCCUCCCACAGGCCAUGUCUGCAAAAGCGCUGAUUGGUGCAGACUCCUCGCAUCUGCCUACCUGGCCCGGGUGACUCCUAGAGCCUUCCCCAGGAGGGCCCUGCUCAUCACUACAGAAGCCAGCAUGCCCUAUGCCAGCGUGCUCUGUGGUGGGGACGUAACAAAAGCCGCGCAGUUCCUGGAGAAUAAGUCUGCGGGGUGGGCAUUACUGUCCACACUUAUACAUGGAGACGAGGAAAAGCUGAGCAGUUCGUCCAAUCACACAUCUAUGUCACGGGACCAGGCCUUCCCAAGUGUGUCAUUCUUUGCAGCAUAGAUCCCUACCCCCUGAGUCCCUACUCCUUGUGAACUAGCCCCUGCCUCUGACCCGCAUGUACAGUUUCUGUGUAAGAUCCCUGUGAGAUUUCAGGACUCACAUAAUACAAGAAUGUAAAACAA